rnacentral:rRNA from 1 species
AUUGAACGCUGGCGGCAGGCCUAACACAUGCAAGUCGAACGGUAACAGGAAGAAGCUUGCUUCUUUGCUGACGAGUGGCGGACGGGUGAGUAAUGUCUGGGAAACUGCCUGAUGGAGGGGGAUAACUACUGGAAACGGUAGCUAAUACCGCAUAACGUCGCAAGACCAAAGGGGGGGACCUUCGGGCCUUUUGCCAUCGGAUGUGCCCAGAUGGGAUUAGCUAGUAGGUGGGGUAACGGCUCACCUAGGCGACGAUCCCUAGCUGGUCUGAGAGGAUGACCAGCCACACUGGAACUGAGACACGGUCCAGACUCCUACGGGAGGCAGCAGUGGGGAAUAUUGCACAAUGGGCGCAAGCCUGAUGCAGCCAUGCCGCGUGUAUGAAGAAGGCCUUCGGGUUGUAAAGUACUUUCAGCGGGGAGGAAGGGAGUAAAGUUAAUACCUUUGCUCAUUGACGUUACCCGCAGAAGAAGCACCGGCUAACUCCGUG